rnacentral:rRNA from 1 species
CCUACGGGUGGCAGCAGUAGGGAAUAUUGCUCAAUGGGGGAAACCCUGAAGCAGCAACGCCGCGUGGAGGAUGAAGGUUUUCGGAUUGUAAACCCCUGUUGUUAGAGAAGAUAAUGACGGUAUCUAACGAAUAAGCACCGGCUAACUACGUGCCAGCAGCCGCGGUAAUACGGAGGGUGCAAGCGUUACACGGAAUCACUGGGCGUAAAGAGCGCGUAGGCGGGAUAGCAAGUCUGAUGUGAAAGCCUAUGGCUUAACCAUAGAACUGCAUUUGAAACUGUUAUUCUAGAGUAUAGGAGAGGUAGGUGGAAUUCUUGGUGUAGGGGUGAAAUCCGUAGAGAUCAAGAGGAAUACUCAUUGCGAAGGCGGCCUGCUAGAACGUAACUGACGCUGAUGCUCGAAAGCGUGGGGAGCAAACAGGAUUAGAUACCCGUGUAGUC